GCAUGCGCAAAGCAGCCCGCCGCGCCCACGCCGCGCGCUACUACCAAAGUUGCAAAGCGCGGAGCGGACCGGUCAGAAAGGUGAAGGUCCCGGCAACCAACGAAAGGGAAGAGCGCUGCGCAUGGGCUGCCCGGGAUCGGCAAGGAGCCUCGCUCGAGUCAGAAGCGGCUCCGACUGCUCGAACCGCUAAAGUGAUGCAAGUAUCCUCCUGUCCCACCCGGGCUGCAUCCUGACACCGAGUGGACUCCGCCCCCGAAGUCAGAGCAUCCCGAACGUCCUGGGCAUCAUUCACCUCGGGAUGCAUUCGGCCACACCUCGCCCCUCGCCGGUUCCUCGCUCGCCAUCGCCUGCCCAGAUAUUCGGGGUACUUUCCAAAGGAGAUGGCUUGGUGUGUGGGAAGUGUAUCUACGUGUGGCCCUGGUCUCCCUUCAGAGAAGGACUUGCUCCCAUUUGCUUCGUGAACUGUUAACAAGCAGCCUGCAGCUGUCAGGUCUCUUCUGCCAUCAGGUCUCCUCUGGACUUGCCUCAGCAGCGCGGAAGCACUUCAUCUAAUGUCACACUCCUUCACAGGAUGACACACGUCAGUGACUGAUCAUUGCUGGGAUGCAAAGUUGUUCCAUGGCUCAUCUCCAGAGUUCUCUGUGGUUCUGGCAAGAGCUGUUGUUGAGCCUAUGUAGCAGCCCAGCUUGCUCUUUCUCUUCUCUACAGACACUGGUCCAAAGCACACUUCUUAAUAAACAGCCACAAUGUCAACUGUAUUUGAGAAUCUCAAGAGCUGCAUCCUAGAGAACACAGAGGCUCUGACCUCCACCCCGCCCCCAACAAACACACCUUCAGGUUCUAUUUGCCCAGGAAAGAAAAUAUAGAAGAUCUAACCGGCACCAAGUUUAAGAAACACAUCUGGCUGCUGCUAAGUACAGAUGUGAGAACUGAGAAAGCACACUCAUUUUUGUCAGACAAAUACAAAUAUUUUGUAUUCACAGCUGCCUUUGGACAUAUUUUGUAGAGAAAGGGGGAAAGUACUGUGAAAGCCUUUGACAAUCUGUUUCCAAGAAAUAAAAGCCACAUACCAGAAGUCUCAUAAAACUAAAAGAAAACGGCAAAUUUGAAAAAGCUAAAAAGGGGGAGUUAUCACAAUUGAGCUGUUGAAAUGUUGGUGUUCAGUAAUACGGUGGCUGGUAUCAUUUCAAGAUGUGACUCUAUUUCCAAAAAAAAAAAAGCCUGGAAUAAAUAAAUAUUUUUGCAUAACCAUAUUUGUAUUUCAAUGGUACCUUGAGAGGAUAGCUUGGAAAACUGACACCUAGAUAAUCAGUGACAAUGAGCCAUCAGACUGCAUGCUCAGCACAGAGCAAUUUCCAAGGAGGAAGAGAUGUGUGCAGCCUCUACAAAUUUGGCUUGGGGAGGCGUUUGCUUCAGAUCACUUGAAUAAGCUACUGUCUAUGGCUCACAAGGGUCCCGUUCUUAAUGAGGUGGUGCAUGGCAGCAACACACUGUGAGUCCAAAUAGCAGAUGGCAACGCUGUUGAGUAGGCUGGCAUGCUGAUGUCUAGCCACCAACUGGCAGCAAUCAUUAUUAAACUGAUUCAUGUGCCCAGGGAAAAUCUUCAUAAGAGCCUCAGCAAAUGUAAGCAGCAAGAGGCAAAUGAUCUGUCCCCAUAUCCUCUAUAGAGCUACCUAUAUUUUAAAAAUGACUAUCCUGCAGGGCUGUCUACAUGAAGGAUGGCAAGAUAUGUGAACUGGAGGCCCUGUUCCCUUGCUCUAUACUCAUAUGCCUUUAAAUGUGAUGGCUGUAAUUUCUGUUUGGUGAAUAGCUUUGACUUGAAGGAAAUAGCUUCGCAGCUCUCACCCUGUGGGCACAUGGCAAAUAUAUUUGGUGGCAGGCAAGUGCUUGUGGGCUCUCCAAACACAGGUUCUGUGUAAAUGUUACACAAAUUGAAUACUGAACAUUGUCUGCCUCAAAUUAUGAAGUGAUGACCUAAAUAGCGCAUGGUCCAUCCACCUGUGACAGGUAACUCAACCUGAAUGAAAAGCAGAUAAAUACAACUAAAAACAUUAUAAAACUAUUCUCAUAUGAGGACAUUUCCACAAGAAAAUCGUAGAAGUACUCAUUGUGAAAACUAUGUCUUUAUAAAUCAAAAUAAUCAGCAGAUAGCAUGCUUCUAUUUUUUCUGUUUGUUUUUUGAGACAGGGUUUCUCUGUGGCAUCCUGCUAUCCUGGAACUCGCUCUGUAGACUAGGCUGGCCUUGAACUCACAGAGAUCCACCUGCCUCUGCCUCCCAAGUGCUGAGAUUAAAGGCAUGCACAACCACAACCUGGCUGCAUGCUUCUCUUUUCAAAUGAAAUGGAUAUGUGUUUGUAACCAGUAAAGCCAAUUUAUAUGUUUGUGCAUAAACAUUUUAUUGAAAAACAAUAUCCUAUUUCAUUUACUUACAAAACACAAUCACUUAAAUAUUGAAAAAUUCUGAUUAUUUUAUAAAUCUUCAUUGAAUUAUUUUCCUAAAAUUAAGAUAACAGACUUUGUCAUGCUUACAAAGAAGAAAGAAUUUGAGGAAAGAAAACACUACAAAUAUCAGAUGUUCUAUAUAUUGUCAUUAUGGACUUUACUGUGUUUUUGUAAAUCAUUUUUAUUCAAAGUAAUUUUUAAAAUCUUUUAUUUUAAAAGUGUUAAAGAGGCUAAAGGAUGUAUCAGUGGGUAAAGGACCUAUUGCCAAGACUGGUAACCUGAAUUCCAUCCAUGGUAGGAGAGAACUAAUUCCCACAAGUUGUCUUCUGGUAGCUGCAUGUGCACAAAAAUAAAAAUAAAUCACUUUUAGAUUCUUUCCUUUUAAAAAAUCACUUGUCAGUCUGAUAAAGAUAUCCAGGCUGAGGUAUCACUUACAAGUUCUAUAGUGUGUGCUCUCCUCGUGUCCUUGUGCCAAACAUGAGAAUGAUUCUCUUUCAAAGACAACCCAGCCUCCAACCCCGACAAGAAACUUCAAAGCAAAACUCACAUAACCAUCACUUCUGCUCUCUCGUCCUUCUCCCUAAACAAGGAAUGAAAUUCCAGAACUGAUCACAUGUUUUAAUAUUUGAGAACAAAAAUAUCACAUCAGCAAAUGAUCUGCUGAUGCAUUCCUCAGGUCCUGGUUACUUUCAAGAAACAAAUUAAGCCAGUGUCAAAAGAAUUUAGAGCUGCAACACUAAUAAAUCUAAGGAAAUGAAUGUGUUACCAUGGGCCUUUAAAUGACAAAUCAAUGCCAUAAGCAAAAUUAAAUCAUGGAGAAGCAGAAAAGCCAUGGAAACCAAACCACCAGGCAAACAAAACCAAGUUUGUUCCCUGCAUC